rnacentral:tRNA from 3 species
UGCGGGCUAGUGUAAUGGCAGCACGACAGACUCUGGCUCUGUUUGUGAGGGUUCAAAUCCUUCGCCCGCAG